rnacentral:rRNA from 1 species
GAUGAACGCUAGCUACAGGCUUAACACAUGCAAGUCGAGGGGAAACGACAUCGAAAGCUUGCUUUUGAUGGGCGUCGACCAGCGCACGGGUGAGUAACGCGUAUCCAACCUGCCCACCACUUGGGGAUAACCUUGCGAAAGUAAGACUAAUACCCAAUGACGUCUCUAGAAGACAUCUGAAAGAGAUUAAAGAUUUAUCGGUGAUGGAUGGGGAUGCGUCUGAUUAGCUUGUUGGCGGGGUAACGGCCCACCAAGGCGACGAUCAGUAGGGGUUCUGAGAGGAAGGUCCCCCACAUUGGAACUGAGACACGGUCCAAACUCCUACGGGAGGCAGCAGUGAGGAAUAUUGGUCAAUGGACGAGAGUCUGAACCAGCCAAGUAGCGUGCAGGAUGACGGCCCUAUGGGUUGUAAACUGCUUUUAUAAGGGAAUAAAGUGAGUCUCGUGAGACUUUUUGCAUGUACCUUAUGAAUAAGGACCGGCUAAUUCCGUG